rnacentral:rRNA from 1 species
UACGUAGGCAGCAAGCGUUGUUCGGAGUUACUGGGCGUAAAGGGUGCGUAGGCGGCUUUUUAAGUUUGGUGUGAAAUCUCCCGGCUUAACCGGGAGGGUGCGGCGGAAACUGGAGUGCUUGAGGGUGGGAGAGGUAAGCGGAAUUCCUGGUGUAGCGGUGAAAUGCGUAGAUAUCAGGAGGAACACCUGUGGUGUAGACAGCUUACUGGACCACUUCUGACGCUGAGACACGAAAGCGUGGGUAGCAAACAGG